rfam:Camponotus floridanus CamFlo_1.0_1.contig371, whole genome shotgun sequence.
GUCUGGAUAGCUCCAGUGGUCUGGAGCAGUUGCCCGGAAAGCGAAAGACUCGGGUUCGAAUCCCGAUCCAGCCA